UACAGAGGGGGCAAGCGUUGUUCGGAAUUACUGGGCGUAAAGGGCGCGUAGGCGGCCUGCUAAGUCGAACGUGAAAUCCCCGGGCUCAACCCGGGAACUGCGUCCGAUACUGGCAGGCUUGAAUCCGGGAGAGGGAUGUGGAAUUCCAGGUGUAGCGGUGAAAUGCGUAGAUAUCUGGAGGAACACCGGUGGCGAAGGCGGCAUCCUGGACCGGUAUUGACGCUGAUGCGCGAAAGCGUGGGGAGCGAACAGG
rnacentral:rRNA from 1 species